CGGGACUUUCCCAGCGCAAUCUGCUGUACUCUCUCUUUGUUCCUUGUUUUCAAUAGAUGGGAUUGCACGUGGUCUCCAUACUGUUUAUUAUCAGUAAGUAAAAAAGUGUUACCAUAUAUCAUCAGUGGUAACUACAACCAGUCAACAACCCAGAGCAGUGGCAGCUCCGUACAGUGACAUCGCCCUUAGCUGCUCUUUCCCUUUGUCUAAAAACCUGAACCUCAACAACGUGAUUGUCAACUGGCAGUGUGGAUAGUCAGAGGUGGUCCACAGCUAUUACCAUGGGAGAGAUUAGCUGGAAAGACAGAGUGAUGUUUACAAGGGACGCACUCAUCUGUUUGAAGACCAGCUCACUGUGGGAAAGGCGUCACUUAGACUGAGUGGUGUGCAGCUGAGUGACCAGGGCCCAUACACCUAUGAUGUGAUGGAUGAACAGGGAAGCACCAAGGAAAGCUACAACUUUUAGUGGCAGCCCCCUUCAAGGAGCCCCAGCUCUCUAUACAGUCAUCCUGUGACAGCUUCAUCAUCACCCUCAGCUCCUCUCAGGGUUUCUCCCAGCCUGAUGUGUGGUGGACGCACUCCAUUGGAGGAGACAUCUCCAAUCAGAGCCACAGCUGUAUCAGCCUGGACAGCAGGGGGCGCUAUGAGGUCCACAGCGCCAUGGAGGUCAGGCCAAACAGUACACUCGUUGUUGAAAUGAGACUGGAGGUUCUCAAUCAAAGCUUCACCCACUCGCUGAUGAUGAAGCUGUCACAGGAUGACUGUACAGAGAACUGGGGCUCCUUGAAGGGGGCUAGGGGUAAACAAAAAGCCUGUCUCUUUCUCUCUUCUCUUCCUCUUUUACAGAAUGCUGUGAGGUGUCUCUUGCAACCAGGGGAAGACCGGCUUUGGUGUUAUUAGGGAUAGUUCUCUUAGCAGCGUUAGCAAUGCCACUCAUUUUGUACUUCAGACACAAGCCUGAAACACACCAACACCAGAUGGUCCCACAUGACGAUACAAUAGGACAAGAUGAGGCUCAUGAAACAGACUUGAAAAAAUAACUAGUUUGAGAAGUCAAAGCUUAAGCUUUUACAGCACUGUGUUUCAAUGUCACAAAUCUAGAUGUGUGUGUUGAUGCCUUCUGAAAUAUUUCCACUCCCUCUUGAUAAAGUAUUAUACUGCUAGCAGUAGACUUUGCUACUCUCUCUGCAAGUCUAUGUAAUCCAGCCUACCUUGUUUUUUUUACAUAACUACUUCUUGAUAGUCCGAAAUGGAAAACAGGGAAAAUAUGAGUAUUCACCCCCUUGGAUUUCUUCUAAUUGUAUUGUGUUACAAAGUGGGAUUAAAAUGGAUUUCAUUAUA